AUGCAAGUCGAACGAUUAAGACUUCCUUCGGGAAGUGCAUAAAGUGGCGCACGGGUGAGUAACACGUAAGUAAUCUACCCUCGAGUGGGGAAUAACAGUCGGAAACGACUGCUAAUACCGCAUAAUGCAGCGGCACCGCAAGGUGACAGUUGUUAAAGGAGCAAUCCGCUUGAGGAGGAGCUUGCGGCAGAUUAGCUUGUUGGUAAGGUAACGGCUUACCAAGGCUACGAUCUGUAUCCGGUCUAAGAGGACGGUCAGACACACUGACACUGAAUAACGGGUCAGACUCCUACGGGAGGCAGCAGUCGGGAAUUUUGGGCAAUGGGCGAAAGCCUGACCCAGCAACGCCGCGUGAAGGAUGAAGUAUUUCGGUAUGUAAACUUCGAAAGAAUAGGAAGAAUAAGUGACGGUACUAUUUAUAAGCUCCGGCUAACUACGUGCCAGCAGCCGCGGUAAUACGUAGGGAGCAAGCGUUGUUCGGAUUUACUGGGCGUAAAGGGCGCGUAGGCGGCGCGGUAAGUCACUUGUGAAAUCUCUGAGCUUAACUCAGAACGGCCAAGUGAUACUGCAGUGCUAGAGUGCAGAAAGGGCAAUCAGAAUUCUUGGUGUAGCGGUGAAAUGCGUAGAUAUCAAGAGGAAUACCUGAGGCGAAGGCGGGUUGCUAGGCUGACACUGACGCUGAGGCGCGAAAGCUAGGGGA
rnacentral:rRNA from 1 species